rnacentral:lncRNA from 1 species
GAGGUGGUUUAUUACUGCAGCACCAGCUAGCCUACCCUUGUGAAAGAUAAAGAGGUAAAGAGCAGGAAGGAGAGAGAAGCAGCAAGAGAAAAAGAAAAAAAAGGGCACAGGAGGAGAGGGGGAGAAAAAGGGAACUCCACGCCAAUGUUCCACCUGGCAGAGAGACAAGAAUGAUCGCAAACUUCAGCCACCAGGCGGGGAUGAGUUUGAGGAAAGAGAUCCAGAGGCUGCGCUGGCUGGUUCUGCCAGGAACCCGCUGUGAUGGGACCACGAUUGUCCUUUGAAGACAGCGUUCUAGCGGGGUGGUAUUGCUGGUGAAGGGUAA